rnacentral:lncRNA from 1 species
UUUUUUUUUUCUGAGGAAGAUUCACCCUGAGCUAACAUCUGUGCCAAUCAUCCUCUAUUUUUUAGUAUGUGGGCUGCGAGCACAGCAUGGCUGCUAACAGAGUGUUGUAGGUCCAUGCCUGGGAACCGAACCUGGGCCGCCGAAGUAGAGUGUGCUGAACUUAACCACUAGGCCACCAGGGCUGGCCAAACAUAACUUUUAUAUGCACUGGGAAAACAAAACAUUUGUGUGACUUGCUUUAUUGUGGUAUUUGCUUUAUUGUGGUGGUCUGGAACUGAAUUCUCAGCAUCUCCAAGAAGGGUUCGAGUUUGUACUGGCUUCCCUUGAUGGCAGAAGAGAGAUCUGAGUGUGCCUGGCCCCCAAGGGUAGGUAGGAGGCUCCCCACGCCUCCAGAGACCUGGCGCCCCAGGACUCACUACCAUCCAUUCAACAAACCUGCCCUGAUGCUUCUCUGCGCCAUGACCCCGAGCUCAGCUGGAUGUGCCAGCCAUGAAGAGGACAAGUUCCCUGCCUGACUAUUCUAUCAGGAUUAGGGGAGAUUGACUUGGAGAUUAUGUUACCAUGUAUUGUCUCUUCUGAUAAGGAUUUGAAAAAGUUCUUAUGGGGGGGGUGGGGGACAACGACAUGGACAUUGCCUGGUGACUAGACCCGUGUGUUCCAAAUACAAGAGAGAGGUCUGGGCUGGAGAGAGAUUUUGGUUUCCUGACAUGGUUGUGAUAUUUAGCAAAUAAAAAUACAAGACGUCCAGUUAAAUUUGAAUUUCACAUAAACAACGAAUAACAACUUAGUAUAAGUAGGGCCCGUCAAUAUUUGGGGCAUACUUACACUAAAACAUUAUUCCUUGUUCCUCUGAAAUUCAAAUUAAAUUGGGGGUCCUGUGUUUCAUCUGGCGGGCAACCAGACUCGAUGGAGCCCCGGGGAUCGAACGCCCGGAGGCGAGGCCUGGCCAGAGACGAGGGUCCAUAGGGAUGAGAGCCCGGGGUUGGACGCCUGGCGAGUCUGGCGAGCCAGCUGCGCCGGACCUCCGAGCCGCCUGCUCCGG